CAUAAAACCUAACACCGCAUGGUGUAGGGUUGAAAGAUGGUUUCGGCUAUCACUUUAGGAUGGACCCCGCGGUGCAUUAGUUAGUUGGUGAGGUAAAGGCUCACCAAGACCGUGAUGCAUAGCCGACCUGAGAGGGUAAUCGGCCACACUGGGACUGAGACACGGCCCAGACUCCUACGGGAGGCAGCAGUAGGGAAUCUUCCACAAUGGACGAAAGUCUGAUGGAGCAACGCCGCGUGAGUGAAGAAGGUUUUCGGAUCGUAAAACUCUGUUGUUGGAGAAGAAUGUAUCUGAUAGUAACUGAUCAGGUAGUGACGGUAUCCAACCAGAAAGCCACGGCUAACUACGUG
rnacentral:rRNA from 1 species